rnacentral:rRNA from 1 species
GACGAACGCUGGCGGCGUGCCUAAUACAUGCAAGUUGAGCGCUGAAGGUUGGUACUUGUACCAACUGGAUGAGCAGCGAACGGGUGAGUAACGCGUGGGGAAUCUGCCUUUGAGCGGGGGACAACAUUUGGAAACGAAUGCUAAUACCGCAUAAAAACUUUAAACACAAGUUUUAAGUUUGAAAGAUGCAAUUGCAUCAUUCAAAGAUGAUCCCGCGUUGUAUUAGCUAGUUGGUGAGGUAAAGGCUCACCAAGGCGAUGAUACAUAGCCGACCUGAGAGGGUGAUCGGCCACAUUGGGACUGAGACACGGCCCAAACUCCUACGGGAGGCAGCAGUAGGGAAUCUUCGGCAAUGGACGAAAGUCUGACCGAGCAACGCCGCGUGAGUGAAGAAGGUUUUCGGAUCGUAAAACUCUGUUGGUAGAGAAGAACGUUGGUGAGAGUGGAAAGCUCAUCAAGUGACGGUAACUACCCAGAAAGGGACGGCUAACUACGUG